GCUCGCAGGUGUGCAAUGCUGGGCUGCGUA
rnacentral:piRNA from 1 species